GUCGCUUUGUCCGAGUGGUUAAGGAGCUGCACUCGAAAUGCAGUACUCUCUGAGUGCGCAGGUUCAAAUCCUGCAGGCGACG